rnacentral:rRNA from 1 species
AGCGAACGCUGGCGGCAGGCUUAGCACAUGCAAGUCGAGCGCCCCGCAAGGGGAGCGGCAGACGGGAGAGUAACACGUGGGAACAUACCUUUUGGUUCGGAACAACUGAGGGAAACUUCAGCUAAUACCGGAUAAGCCCUUACGGGGAAAGAUUUAUCGCCGAAAGAUUGGCCCGCGUCUGAUUAGCUAGUUGGUGAGGUAACGGCUCACCAAGGCGACGAUCAGUAGCUGGUCUGAGAGGAUGAUCAGCCUCACUGGGACUGAGACACGGCCCAGACUCCUACGGGAGGCAGCAGUGGGGAAUAUUGGACAAUGGGGGCAACCCUGAUCCAGCCAUGCCGCGUGAGUGAUGAAGGCCUUAGGGUUGUAAAGCUCUUUUGCCCGGGAAGAUAAUGACGGUACCGGGAGAAUAAGCCCCGGCUAACUUCGUG